UUCCAUGAAUCCGAAACAGAACCUAUUCAAGAAAAAGACUCUCAUCAGCCUUGAAAUCUUUUAACUUCUAAGGCAAGAAAGUUCACAAACUUAGAUCUUACUUACAUUUUACAGAGAUGGGAGCAGCAACCUUCCUGGUGAGGAACUUGCCGGAGCUUCUCUUGGGGCAAGAAUAGAUUCUGGCUUUGGUGAACGGGACAAUAUCUUUAACACCAGAGAUUGAUCUUGAGUUGACUUCACUACUUAAUGACGUCCAUUUACAUGACAACAUUGCAAAAUUGAUCAUCAGUUGUCAAUGUCAUCACUCAUCAGCCUUAUACAAGUCAAGUUCUACGGAUCGCCUAACCAUAAGGAACUUCCUGAUUGAUUAGAAGAGCCUGUUUUGGGGACUAAGAAUCUGGAGGUAGUAUUCCAAGAUCAAGUCCAUCUCAAGAUUAAUUAAUUAUGCAGUGUAUACUUCACCCAAACUCGUUGAGGCUUUUUCAAGAUCAAGUCCAACGCUCUUCUCGUCUUAUUCUAAUGAAGCUUUUUCAAAUGUUUUUGCUUAGCACUACUCACUUAUGAAUGUUUACAUAGAGGGCGGUUACAAUCUAUCUUUACUUUUACAAAAUCAUUGCUUCCAUAGAUCUGCGAUUGGCCUAUACUUAUCUUGGUUUUAUUCACAACCA